UACGUAGGGGGCAAGCGUUGUCCGGAAUCAUUGGGCGUAAAGCGCGUGUAGGCGGUUCGGUAAGUCCGCUGUGAAAGCCCGAGGCUCAACCUCGGAACUGCCUUCGAUACUGCGGGUCUCGAGUCCGGGAGAGGUGAGUGGAAUUCCUAGUGUAGAGGUGAAAUUCGUAGAUAUUAGGAGGAACACCAGUGGCAAAGGCGGCGACCUGGGCAGAUACUGACACUGAGGUGCGAAAGCGUGGGUAGCAAACAGG
rnacentral:rRNA from 1 species